AUCAGUGGCGAACGGGUGAGUAACACGUGAGCAAUCUGCCCUUGACUCUGGGAUAACUGCGGGAAACUGUAGCUAAUACCGGAUAUUACCUUGGAAGGCAUCUUCUGGGGUGGAAAGAAUUUUGGUCAAGGAUGAGCUCGCGGCCUAUCAGCUAGUUGGUGAGGUAAUGGCUCACCAAGGCGACGACGGGUAGCCGGCCUGAGAGGGUGACCGGCCACACUGGGACUGAGACACGGCCCAGACUCCUACGGGAGGCAGCAGUGGGGAAUAUUGCACAAUGGGCGCAAGCCUGAUGCAGCAACGCCGCGUGAGGGACGACGGCCUUCGGGUUGUAAACCACUUUUGUACGGAACGAAACGGUCUGCUUUAAUACAGUGGGCUAAUGACGGUACCGUAAGAAUAAGCACCGGCUAACUACGUGCCAGCAGCCGCGGUAAUACGUAGGGUGCGAGCGUUAAUCGGAAUUACUGGGCGUAAAGCGUGCGCAG
rnacentral:rRNA from 1 species